ACUAACAUGGCAUGCAAGUGAGACGUAGAAGUACAUCUCACUGAAUGUGACCAAUUGCUGAGCACUCUGCUGUCAAGAAUAGCUCGCGAAGGAUAUGGGUAUAAGUAUCCCUCCGACUUGAGAUCACCACGGUGAGUUACAAGCAACUCACUAUGCUUUGGUGCUAGACUACCUGAAUUUUUAAUUCAGUGAUGAAAGGUUUCUGGGCAUAGUCAAGUACUUACGA
rnacentral:lncRNA from 1 species